UACGAAGGGGGCUAGCGUUGUUCGGAAUUACUGGGCGUAAAGCGCGUGUAGGCGGUUGUUCAAGUCGGGUGUGAAAGCCUUGAGCUCAACUCAAGAAAUGCACUCGAUACUGGAUGACUAGAGGACCGGAGAGGAUAGUGGAAUUCCCAGUGUAGUGGUGAAAUACGUAGAGAUUGGGAAGAACGCCAGUGGCGAAGGCGGCUAUCUGGACGGUUUCUGACGCUAAGACGCGAAAGCGUGGGGAGCAAACAGG
rnacentral:rRNA from 1 species